UACAGGGGGGGCAAGCGUUGUUCGGAAUUACUGGGCGUAAAGGGCUCGUAGGCGGCCAACUAAGUCCGACGUGAAAUGCCAAAGCUUAACUUUGGAACUGCGUCGGAUACUGGAUGGCUUGAAUUCGGGAGAGGGAUGCAGAAUUCCAGGUGUAGCGGUGAAAUGCGUAGAUAUCUGGAGGAAUACCGGUGGCGAAGGCGGCAUCCUGGACCGACAUUGACGCUGAGGAGCGAAAGCUAGGGGAGCAAACGGG
rnacentral:rRNA from 1 species